GACGAACGCUGGCGGCGUGCCUAAUACAUGCAAGUAGAACGCACAGUUUAUACCGUAGCUUGCUACACCAUAAACUGUGAGUUGCGAACGGGUGAGUAACGCGUAGGUAACCUGCCUGGUAGCGGGGGAUAACUAUUGGAAACGAUAGCUAAUACCGCAUAAUAUUGAUUAUUGCAUGAUAAUUGAUUGAAAGAUGCUAUUGCAUCACUACCAGAUGGACCUGCGUUGUAUUAGCUAGUAGGUGAGGUAACGGCUCACCUAGGCGACGAUACAUAGCCGACCUGAGAGGGUGAUCGGCCACACUGGGACUGAGACACGGCCCAGACUCCUACGGGAGGCAGCAGUAGGGAAUCUUCGGCAAUGGACGAAAGUCUGACCGAGCAACGCCGCGUGAGUGAAGAAGGUUGUCGGAUCGUAAAGCUCUGUUGUAAGAGAAGAACGGGUGUGAGAGUGGAAAGUUCACACUGUGACGGUAUCUUACCAGAAAGGGACGGCUAACUACGUG
rnacentral:rRNA from 1 species